UACGAAGGUGGCAAGCGUUGUCCGAUGUUAUUGGGCGUAAAGAGUUCUGUAGGCUGAAUUAUAAGUUAUAUGUUAAAUCUCUCGACUUAAUCGAGAACGUGCAUGUAAUACUGUAGUUCUAGAGCAAGGUAGGGGUUAGCGGAACGUACGGUGUAGUAGUGAAAUGCGUUGAUAUCGUAAGGAACACCAAUGGCGUAGGCAGCUAACUGGACCUUUGCUGACGCUGAGAGACGAAAGCGUGGGUAGCGAAAGGG
rnacentral:misc_RNA from 1 species